GGGUUGUGAGGUUAAGCGACUAAGCGUACACGGUGGAUGCCCGGCAGUCAGAGGCGAUGAAGGACGUGCUAAUCUGCGAUAAGCGUCGGUAAGGUGAUAUGAACCGUUAUAACCGGCGAUUUCCGAAUGGGGAAACCCAGUGUGUUUCGACACACUAUCAUUAACUGAAUCCAUAGGUUAAUGAGGCGAACCGGGGGAACUGAAACAUCUAAGUACCCCGAGGAAAAGAAAUCAACCGAGAUUCCCCCCAGUAGCGGCGAGCGAACGGGGAGCAGCCCAGAGCCUGAAUCAGUGUGUGUGUUAGUGGAAGCGUCUGGAAAGGCGCGCGAUACAGGGUGACAGCCCCGUACACAAAAAUGCACAUGCUGUGAGCUCGAUGAGUAGGGCGGGACACGUGGUAUCCUGUCUGAAUAUGGGGGACCAUCCUCCAAGGCUAAAUACUCCUGACUGACCGAUAGUGAACCAGUACCGUGAGGGAAAGGCGAAAAGAACCCCGGCGAGGGGAGUGAAAAAGAACCUGAAACCGUGUACGUACAAGCAGUGGGAGCCUCUUUAUGGGGUGACUGCGUACCUUUUGUAUAAUGGGUCAGCGACUUAUAUUCUGUAGCAAGGUUAACCGAAUAGGGGAGCCGAAGGGAAACCGAGUCUUAACUGGGCGUUAAGUUGCAGGGUAUAGACCCGAAACCCGGUGAUCUAGCCAUGGGCAGGUUGAAGGUUGGGUAACACUAACUGGAGGACCGAACCGACUAAUGUUGAAAAAUUAGCGGAUGACUUGUGGCUGGGGGUGAAAGGCCAAUCAAACCGGGAGAUAGCUGGUUCUCCCCGAAAGCUAUUUAGGUAGCGCCUCGUGAAUUCAUCUCCGGGGGUAGAGCACUGUUUCGGCAAGGGGGUCAUCCCGACUUACCAACCCGAUGCAAACUGCGAAUACCGGAGAAUGUUAUCACGGGAGACACACGGCGGGUGCUAACGUCCGUCGUGAAGAGGGAAACAACCCAGACCGCCAGCUAAGGUCCCAAAGUCAUGGUUAAGUGGGAAACGAUGUGGGAAGGCCCAGACAGCCAGGAUGUUGGCUUAGAAGCAGCCAUCAUUUAAAGAAAGCGUAAUAGCUCACUGGUCGAGUCGGCCUGCGCGGAAGAUGUAACGGGGCUAAACCAUGCACCGAAGCUGCGGCAGCGACACUAUGUGUUGUUGGGUAGGGGAGCGUUCUGUAAGCCUGUGAAGGUGUACUGUGAGGUAUGCUGGAGGUAUCAGAAGUGCGAAUGCUGACAUAAGUAACGAUAAAGCGGGUGAAAAGCCCGCUCGCCGGAAGACCAAGGGUUCCUGUCCAACGUUAAUCGGGGCAGGGUGAGUCGACCCCUAAGGCGAGGCCGAAAGGCGUAGUCGAUGGGAAACAGGUUAAUAUUCCUGUACUUGGUGUUACUGCGAAGGGGGGACGGAGAAGGCUAUGUUGGCCGGGCGACGGUUGUCCCGGUUUAAGCGUGUAGGCUGGUUUUCCGGGCAAAUCCGGAAAAUCAAGGCUGAGGCGUGAUGACGAGGCACUACGGUGCUGAAGCAACAAAUGCCCUGCUUCGGGGAAAAGCCUCUAAGCAUCAGGUAACAUCAAAUCGUACCCCAAACCGACACAGGUGGUCAGGUAGAGAAUACCAAGGCGCUUGAGAGAACUCGGGUGAAGGAACUAGGCAAAAUGGUGCCGUAACUUCGGGAGAAGGCACGCUGAUAUGUAGGUGAAGUCCCUCGCGGAUGGAGCUGAAAUCAGUCGAAGAUACCAGCUGGCUGCAACUGUUUAUUAAAAACACAGCACUGUGCAAACACGAAAGUGGACGUAUACGGUGUGACGCCUGCCCGGUGCCGGAAGGUUAAUUGAUGGGGUUAGCGGUAACGCGAAGCUCUUGAUCGAAGCCCCGGUAAACGGCGGCCGUAACUAUAACGGUCCUAAGGUAGCGAAAUUCCUUGUCGGGUAAGUUCCGACCUGCACGAAUGGCGUAAUGAUGGCCGGGCUGUCUCCACCCGAGACUCAGUGAAAUUGAACUCGCUGUGAAGAUGCAGUGUACCCGCGGCAAGACGGAAAGACCCCGUGAACCUUUACUAUAGCUUGACACUGAACAUUGAGCCUUGAUGUGUAGGAUAGGUGGGAGGCUUUGAAGUGUGGACGCCAGUCUGCAUGGAGCCGACCUUGAAAUACCACCCUUUAAUGUUUGAUGUUCUAACGUUGGCCCCUGAUCGGGGUUGCGGACAGUGUCUGGUGGGUAGUUUGACUGGGGCGGUCUCCUCCUAAAGAGUAACGGAGGAGCACGAAGGUUGGCUAAUCCUGGUCGGACAUCAGGAGGUUAGUGCAAUGGCAUAAGCCAGCUUGACUGCGAGCGUGACGGCGCGAGCAGGUGCGAAAGCAGGUCAUAGUGAUCCGGUGGUUCUGAAUGGAAGGGCCAUCGCUCAACGGAUAAAAGGUACUCCGGGGAUAACAGGCUGAUACCGCCCAAGAGUUCAUAUCGACGGCGGUGUUUGGCACCUCGAUGUCGGCUCAUCACAUCCACGGGGCUGAAGUAGGUCCCAAGGGUAUGGCUGUUCGCCAUUUAAAGUGGUACGCGAGCUGGGUUUAGAACGUCGUGAGACAGUUCGGUCCCUAUCUGCCGUGGGCGCUGGAGAACUGAGGGGGGCUGCUCCUAGUACGAGAGGACCGGAGUGGACGCAUCACUGGUGUUCGGGUUGUCAUGCCAAUGGCACUGCCCGGUAGCUAAAUGCGGAAGAGAUAAGUGCUGAAAGCAUCUAAGCACGAAACUUGCCCCGAGAUGAGUUCUCCCUGACUCCUUGAGAGUCCUGAAGGAACGUUGAAGACGACGACGUUGAUAGGCCGGGUGUGUAAGCGCAGCGAUGCGUUGAGCUAACCGGUACUAAUGAACCGUGAGGCUUAACCUUACAACGCCGAAG
rnacentral:rRNA from 1 species